AUUGAACGCUGGCGGCAUGCCUUACACAUGCAAGUCGAACGGCAGCACGGGUGCUUGCACCUGGUGGCGAGUGGCGAACGGGUGAGUAAUACAUCGGAACGUACCUUAUCGUGGGGGAUAACGCUGCGAAAGCUGUGCUAAUACCGCAUACGCCCUGAGGGGGAAAGCGGGGGAUCGAAAGACCUCGCGCGAUUAGAGCGGCCGAUGCCUGAUUAGCUUGUUGGUGGGGUAAAAGCCCACCAAGGCGACGAUCAGUAGCUGGUCUGAGAGGACGACCAGACACAGUCGGAAUGAGACACGGCCCAGACUCCUACGGGAGGCAGCAGUGGGGAAUUUUGGACAAUGGGGGCAACCCUGAGCCAGCAAUGCCGCGUGAGUGAAGAAGGCCUUCGGGUUGUAAAGCUCUUUUGUCAGGGAAGAAACACCGGCUCUAACACAGUCCGGGAAUGACGGUACCUGAAGAAUAAGCACCGGCUAACUACGUGCCAGCAGCCGCGGUAA
rnacentral:rRNA from 1 species